GACUUCAAUGAUUUGGAUUAUUGCACUUCACUUGGUGGAAUUAACCCUAACAUUCUAAUAUUAAUUCCACCAAGUGAAGUGCAAUAAUCCAAAUCGUUGAAGUC
rnacentral:miRNA from 1 species